rnacentral:tRNA from 1 species
GGCUCAGUGGUCUAGAGGUUUGGCGUUGGUGCGCGAGACCGAAGGUCCUGGGUUCGGAUCCCGCAUGCAGGGUC